rnacentral:rRNA from 1 species
CAAACUAUUAGAGACUAUAGUCCCAAAUAACUCGACUCAGGUUAUAAAAAAUAUAUUUUUAUACGCGGCGCCCCAAUAUAUAUAUGUGUGUGUGGUGUGCGUACGGUGCUUGAGUGAGUCAAACGUGGCUGUCACACUCUAUGGCAUAUCCAAAGAGGAUAUAUACUUGCUUUCCAACGCGGAGACGCUGUGUGUUCACAAGAUGCCCCA